rnacentral:tRNA from 1 species
UAUAUAUAAGUGUUGGUAGCACAAGAAGUUUUGAUCUUCUAAGAAUUGGUGGAAAUCCAUUAUAUAUAU